UAUAACUGGAAACCCUGGACGCCAGGCAGGAAGCGACCAGAGAACUUUCAGACGCGGUUAGAGAAAGGAGGUUGGUUUGUCGCCCGGGACUAGAGGAGCAGCACGGCAGAGGCACCUGGAGAACUUCCAGACCCCAAGCCUAACACCAGAACGAAGCCCAGUGGCAAGCAUCGUCACUCCAGAAAUCAGGACAACCUCAGCGUGAACAUGAAGGCCAUCAGUGUGUGCGGAGCCCAAGAUGAGUCAGACUCUGGAAUCAUCUGACAAAGAUUUUAAAGCAGCUGUCAUGAAACAAUGCUUCAGCAAACUAUGACAAAUUCUUUUAAAACGUGAAAUCUAGAAAAUUUCAGCAAUGGAAGUGUUUAGGCCUUCGGUCUCAGUGUCUGUUACUAAACUGCUUCUAUAAACCUCA